CCAGGGCCCUCAUUCUAGAGUCAUGCUACCUGAGUCUGAAUCCUGGGCCUGCCCCUUACUGACUGUGUGAUCUUGGGCAGGAAUUAGCUAGUCCUGUGAGGGCAGUCUCUCAAGGAUCAAGGCCCCAGAUGCCAGAGCAUCAAGAAUAUGGAAAAUCAGAGAACAUGAUCAAUAUACCAGCUCAUCCCUGGAUGAAGCUCCCUGCCUUUCCUCAUACAGACAAAAAAGUGCAAUCCUCAAUUUUCCGGCCUACCUUGUAGCUGGGAGCUAUAAAAUGAAGUUCAUCAGGCAUGAGCGGUCUGCUGGUACUGCUUCUUCCCGCUUCCCCUUCUUCUUGCUUUGGGAUGGGAUGCGAUGUUUGCUGCUGUAACAGCCAUUUGCAGCCAUAAGGAAAAGGCCAAAUGAAUUGCAGUGGUGUCCAUUGAACCAAUUCUGUAUUUUUCUGGACUUCUUGUUUUGUGAGAAAAAUAAACUGCUAUUUAAACCACUGUAGUCAGAUUUUCAAUUACUUGCAGCCAAACCCAUUCCUAAUUGAUCUCAUAGGAGAUAUAAGAAAAG
rnacentral:lncRNA from 1 species